AACGAACGCUGGCGGCAGGCUUAACACAUGCAAGUCGAGCGCCCCGCAAGGGGAGCGGCAGACGGGUGAGUAACGCGUGGGAAUCUACCCAUCUCUACGGAAUAACGCAUGGAAAAGUGUGCUAAUACCGUAUACGUCAUUCGGGAGCAAGAUUUAUCUGAGAUAGAUGAGCCCGCGUUGGAUUAGCUAGUUGGUGGGGUAAAGGCCGACCAAGGCGACGAUCCAUAGCUGGUCCGAGAGGAUGAUCAACCACACUGGGACUGAGACACGGCCCAGACUCCUACGGGAGGCAGCAGUGGGGAAUGUUGGACAAUGGGCGCAAGCCUGAUCCAGCCAUGCCGCGUGAGUGUUGAAGGCCCUAGGGUUGUAAAGCUCUUUCACCGGUGAAGAUAAUGACGGUAACCGGAGAAGAAGCCCCGGCUAACUUCGUGCCAGCCGCCGCGGUAAUAC
rnacentral:rRNA from 1 species